UCGUAGGUACCCCAGGUAAAAGUGGGC
rnacentral:sRNA from 1 species